UGUUAAAAUUUUGAUCCAUUUGUCUUGUUAAAAGUUAGUGUGGCUGACGGAAUAACUGUAUAGUGACAUGUGGCGUGUCACGUGUACCUUAUAGUAACAUAAAGGGACCAGUUUUUAACAAUAGAAAUGAAUAAAAUUUUUAAUA
rfam:Gossypium raimondii Chr12_contig_477, whole genome shotgun sequence.